rnacentral:lncRNA from 1 species
CUGUCAACUCCAAUGGUCCCCUCUGAUUUUUAACGACCUUAAAGUGCUUUCAUUUAGUGCCUUGCUUGUAUAUAAUCUCACAUAUUUUGUAAAUGCAAAGCAAGUAAUCACAUUCAAGGACUAUUGACCAAUUACUUUUAUUUCUUUGAGGUUCUGCACAAUUGAGCAUCCCUGUGUUUUGGACACGUGAAGCUGGUAGGUGAGUGGUAGUAAGUAUACAAUUCCAAAUAAAUGGGCUACAUUGCUUUCUCAUGCACAGCACCUAAACUACUAUUAUUUCACAUUGAACGCCAGUGGAAUUAUUCAUAAUCUUCUAGGUGGCUCAAAUAGAAUAGGCAAGGACUGAGAUUUGCUUGUAGGAUGAACAGGAAAAAAAGAAAUCAAGCAUAACUUAAAAGUAAUUACCCGUUUUGGUAAUGGUGCCCCAAAUCUUUGAUGAAUUGCCAUCACAUAUCAACGAAAUGCACUCAACUGGGACAAUCCUUUUUCUAGAAGGAAACACUAAUGCAGUUUAUUAGGACACUACUCUAAAAGACAAAUGCGAUGUUCCUGUGCCAUCAAGUUUUGUCACAAGGUUGAAAUGACCUAUCCCAGUGAAAUUUAAGAGCCAGAAGAUUUUCAAAUAUCUAUAUGGAACCAGAGGAAGAUAGAAUGACCUUGCCAGGACUUGGACUUGUUUGGCAAAAGCCCUGGUUGAAGCCAGACCUAAGCUGUGGAAACUAAUAUUUUGUGCAGACAGGAUAGU